CUUCGACCAAGGUGCGACUCGAGCGCCAGCGAGAAAGCGUUGCCGCAGGCAACGACCCGAAGGGUGAAGCGCGCAGCGCUGAGUAAUCCUUCCCCCACCACCA
rnacentral:sRNA from 1 species